UGCUCAUAUCACGUUGAAACGCCGAUUCUCGUACGAUAUUCGAAGUUAAGCAACGUCGAGCCUGGUCAGUAACUACAUGGGUGACCGCCCGGGAAUACCAGAUGCUGUUA